rnacentral:rRNA from 1 species
CACGUAGGGUGCGAGCGUUGUCCGGAAUUAUUGGGCGUAAAGAGCUCGUAGGCGGUGUGUCGCGUCGGCCGUGAAAACCUGCAGCUUAACUGUGGGCUUGCGGUCGAUACGGGCAUCACUGGAGUUCGGCAGGGGAGACUGGAAUUCCUGGUGUAGCGGUGAAAUGCGCAGAUAUCAGGAAGAACACCAAUGGCGAAGGCAGCUCUCUGGGACGGUACUGACGCUGAGACGCGAAAGCGUGGGGAGCGAACAGG